GAUUACUGUAGCUUCAUGCCUGCAAGCUGGCUAGCUGGCAGGCAGACAACAUACUGUUGGCCCGGGUUGGUCAGGCCUGCAAGCUGCGGAUGCUCCAGGUACACUUGCUGAGUCAUUGACCUGAGGCGGGAUUUUGGGCACACACGUGUGCAAAGUGUGUAUUAGUCUGCUGGGCCAGAGACUUGAACCACAGCGUCUGUAUGGAAGUCUAAGUCCAGCGAAGUAACCAUUACACCAU